GACGAACCGUGCGAACGUUAUUCGGAAUCACUGGGCUUAAAGGGCGCGUAGGCGGGCCGCAUAGUCAGGGGUGAAAUCCUCCAGCUUAACUGGAGAAGUGCCUCUGAUACUGGCGGCCUCGAGGGGUGCAGGGGCGUGCGGAACUUAGGGUGGAGCGGUGAAAUGCGUAGAUAUCCUAAGGAACACCGGUGGCGAAGGCGGGUCUCUGGGCCGAUACUGACGCUGAGGAGCGAAAGCGUGGGGAGCGAACAGG
rnacentral:rRNA from 1 species